UGGGGAAUAUUGGACAAUGGGCGAAAGCCUGAUCCAGCCAUGCCGCGUGUGUGAAGAAGGUCUUCGGAUUGUAAAGCAUUUUAAGUUGGGAGGAAGGGCAGUAAGCGAAUACCUUGCUGUUUUGACGUUACCGACAGAAUAAGCACCGGCUAACUCUGUGCCAGCAGCCGCGGUAAUACAGAGGGUGCAAGCGUUAAUCGGAACUACUGGGCGUAAAGCGCGCGUAGGUGGUUCGUUAAGUUGAAUGUGAAAGCCCCGGGCUCAACCUGGGAACUGCAUCCAAAACUGGCGAGCUAGAGUAGGGCAGAGGGUGGUGGAGUUGCCUGUGUGGCGGUGAAAUGCGUAGAUAUAGGAAGGAACACCAGUGGCGAAGGCGACCACCUGGGCUCAUACUGACACUGAGGUGCGAAAGCGUGGGGAGCAAACAGG
rnacentral:rRNA from 1 species